rnacentral:rRNA from 1 species
UACGUAGGGUGCAAGCGUUGUCCGGAAUUAUUGGGCGUAAAGAGCUCGUAGGCGGUCUGUCGCGUCGGAUGUGAAAAUCAGGGCUCAACCCUGGACCUGCAUUCGAUACGGGCAGACUAGAGUUCGGCAGGGGAGACUGGAAUUCCUGGUGUAGCGGUGAAAUGCGCAGAUAUCAGGAGGAACACCGGUGGCGAAGGCGGGUCUCUGGGCCGUAACUGACGCUGAGGAGCGAAAGCGUGGGGAGCAAACAGG